AUACGGAGGGUGCAAGCGUUACUCGGAAUCACUGGGCGUAAAGCGCGCGCAGGCGGUCUUUUAAGUUGGAUGUGAAAGCCUACGGCUCAACCGUAGAACUGCAUCCAAAACUAUUAGACUAGAAUGUGGGAGAGGAAGAUGGAAUUAGUUGUGUAGGGGUAAAAUCCGUAGAGAUAACUAGGAAUACCAAAAGCGAAGGCGAUCUUCUGGAACAGUACUGACGCUGAGGCGCGAAAGCGUGGGGAGCAAACAGGAUUAGAAACCCUUGUAGUCC
rnacentral:rRNA from 1 species